UACGUAGGGGGCAAGCGUUGUCCGGAUUUAUUGGGCGUAAAGAGCGUGUAGGCGGCUAGGUAGGUCCGUUGUGAAAACUCGAGGCUCAACCUCGAGACGCCGGUGGAAACCAUCUAGCUAGAGUCCGGAAGAGGAGAGUGGAAUUCCUGGUGUAGCGGUGAAAUGCGCAGAUAUCAGGAGGAACACCCGUGGCGAAAGCGGCUCUCUGGGACGGUACUGACGCUGAGACGCGAAAGCGUGGGGAGCAAACAGG
rnacentral:rRNA from 1 species